rnacentral:rRNA from 1 species
UACGAAGGGUGCAAGCGUUACUCGGAAUUACUGGGCGUAAAGCGUGCGUAGGUGGUCGUUUAAGUCCGUUGUGAAAGCCCUGGGCUCAACCUGGGAACUGCAGUGGAUACUGGGCGACUAGAGUGUGGUAGAGGGUAGCGGAAUUCCUGGUGUAGCGGUGAAAUGCGUAGAGAUCUGGAGGAACAUCCAUGGCGAAGGCAGCUUCCUGGACCACCACUGACGCUGAGGCACGUAAGCGUGGGGAGCUACCAGG